GGAGCAGGCCAUGCGGCCGCGGGCGCGAACGCGCUCGAGGAAAGUCCGGGCUCCGCAGGGCAGGGUGCUGGGUAACGCCCAGUGGGGGCGACCCCGAGGACAGUGCCACAGAAACAUACCACCCCCUCGCGGGGGCAAGGGUGAAAAGGUGCGGUAAGAGCGCACCAGCGGCCGGGUAACCGGCCGGCUCGGUACACCCCACCCGGAGCAAGGUCACAUAGGGGGAGAUGAGGCGGCCCGCCGAUCCCCGGGUAGACUGCUGGAGGUGCCGGGUAACCGGCACCCGAGAGAGAUGGCCGCACUCGACUGAACCCGGCUUACAGGCCUGCUCCCAAG
rnacentral:RNase_P_RNA from 1 species